AGGAGGGGCGUGAUCAGUCGGGGGGGGGGCCCACCCUUACAGAAAACAUAUACACAUAAUGGCCUUCCCACGAGACUGGGUUCCGCUCCUCUCUGGAGGCUGUUAGAAGGGAGAUCCAGCUUUUCCUGGCCCUCGCUUCCUUCCUCCUUUCCUGAGUGCUCGUCUCUUCCACACGUGUGUGCCCUUCACUCACACGUACCCCGCGUUAGCCCAUCCAUCCCCUGGUGCGUCGUUGGCACUGCAGGGAAACUGCCUGCCACUAGUCCUAGGCAGCACGGCUGUUACCGAGGUGACUUACUCGUUAGUUGAGCUGAGUCUCUGCACUUCUCCGCACCUCAUUUCAUAUGAAUAACACUUCCCUAUGCAGGAGUUAAUAGCCAGGAAAGUGCUCCGAAAAGGAUCACAAAUUUUCUUGAGGAAGGUAAGAUCUCCUUAGCAGAAGACACCAGCGCUCUGCUCGUGUCUUCCCCCCACACAGAGCGCACCCAGGCCUGCCUGAAUUAUUAAGAGGAGUUUCAGCUCCGGUGACCUCAACAAGGUCUUCCGGAUCUCCACUCUAUGCGGCCGGGCCAGCUGCCCGAGGUCUCUGCGCUGUGUCAUCCUCUGGGGAACCCGGUCACCAAAUCCCCUCGCUGGAGAUGUUCACAUAGCACUCGGGCCCACGGUAGCAAUUACACUGCAGAUUCUGAAUUCAGUGAUUUUGAGCUGUGCUCUUCCCUCUCCCGCUGAGAGAAAAAAAAAACCUCAAAUAUUUUUAAUAAACCCCAGUGUGACAGCGGAUUCGAGGAAAUGACGUUUGCUUGGCAUGUGUGAUAUUUUGUUUGCCUUUAAGAAGCUUUUGGUCUGAUUAACUCCGGGCCUGGUUCACAUUUGGGAUGAAGUCAGCAUGAGUGUGCCACUGCAGCUGCAGCCAAGGAACAAUGAGAGGCACUGCUGUGGACGGUCCUUUGUCCGCCUUCUCUCUUUAAGGAGCCCUGGUUCUGAACUAGGCAAAGACAGAAGACUUUACAUCCAGCUGAGAUUUCCUAGCGUCUUCUUGGAACUGUGCUCAAUUCUCUCUUUGCUUAUCUCACUGUGAGCCAGAGUCGAUGCUAUUACACUUCAGCCUCUGUAUGAUGAAUUCUCUCUCCCUACUGCCUUCCCACUACCUUCCACCUCGCAACCAUCAGCAGUGGCUUUGGCAGGUGCUGAGCGCUGAUUUACAAAGAUGUUCCGGCAAUAUUAAAGCAAUCACACUCGGACACUCACAGACAACCCAGGAGAGUGCAGCGUCAGACCAGCUGCAGGGAGGCAGAGGCGGCUGGAAACGCAAGCCCUGGGCUCCACCCGAGAAUCCAGAAGCGAAUACUUCAAUGUGAUGCUGGGCACUCAGAUCCUCUACAAAUUUGAGAGACCACAGUAUGCUGAAAUCCUUGCUGAUCACCCUGAUGCACCUAUGUCGCAAGUGUACGGAGCACCACAUCUACUGAGAUUAUUUGUACGAAUUGGAGUGAUGUCAGCCUACACACCUCUGGAUGAGAAAAGCCUUGCUUUAUUUCUGAAUUAUCUUCAUGAUUUCCUCAAGUAGCUGGCGAAGAAUUCAGCAACUUUGUUUAGUGCCAGUGAUUAUGAAGUGGCCCCUCCUGAGUACCAUUGAAAGCAGUGUGAGGCACUCUCACCGGUGUUUGGAUCUCUGUCAACAGGUUUUUGUUCCUAGUCCUUCUCUUGUACAAAUGAU